ensembl:snRNA U6 U6 spliceosomal RNA
GUGGUCACUUCAGUAGCACAUAUACUAAAAUUGCAACAAUACAGAGAAGAUUAGCAUGGUCCCUGCACAAGGAUGACAUGCAAAUUCAUGAAGUGUUCAAUAUUUUU